rnacentral:rRNA from 1 species
UACGUAGGGUGCGAGCGUUAAUCGGAAUUACUGGGCGUAAAGCGUGCGCAGGCGGUUCUGUAAGUCAGAUGUGAAAGCCCCGGGCUCAACCUGGGAACUGCGUUUGAAACUACAGGACUAGAGUAUGGCAGAGGGGGGUAGAAUUCCACGUGUAGCAGUGAAAUGCGUAGAGAUGUGGAGGAACACCGAUGGCGAAGGCAGCCCCCUGGGUCAAGACUGACGCUCAUGCACGAAAGCGUGGGGAGCAAACAGG